rnacentral:tRNA from 1 species
GCGCCCGUAGCUCAAUCGGAUAGAGCGACGGCCUCCGGAGCCGUAGGCUGGAGGUUCAAAUCCUCUCGGGCGCGCCA